AUAGCGCACAACCGCGUAUAUACAAAAGCAGAGAAAAAUGCCCGUUUCAAUACGGCGUUUUCCGUUUUUGGGGCGGGGGGGUGCGUGUGUGGAUAACGGCUCACAUAACGUGUCGCGAUGGAUGACUUGGCUUCCUAUU
rnacentral:rRNA from 1 species